AAGUAGGUUAUUGGAUAUCAUCAGCAGCCAAGACUUCUACUAUUUCAUUCUUCGGUGAUACUCUCUAGACUUGGUAGCCAAUGGUCAGAAGAAGACCAUACAUUCUUAGGAGAGCUUCUUAACCCUUUUCCCGUUAGAUCUUGUGUCCUCCUCCUGGUUAAUGUAUUGUCAUUACGAGGUUAUUUGUUUUCUUUGCAGUGCUUUUAUUCAUGAAGACACAACAAGUGGAAAGCAUACCAUCAUCUUUUUCCUCUUUGCUGGAUUGUGUGUUUCUAAUCUCAUAAACUGAAGAACUGGUUGCAAUUUCAUGAGCAGGAGAAGGAGAGCUCCUUGGAGAUAGCCCUUGAAGUUUUCUUAUUGUGCUCAAUGGUACUACAUAGUACUUUUGUCCAAGCACAAGCUUUGCAUCUGGUUCAACAACUGCCCAUGGUUGCUGGAACACAUUUGGAUAUGUUACACAACAUCUUGGAUAGCGGCACAUAAUCUCAGCUGCAGUCACUGGUCUGUCAUGGAGCUCAACAUACCCACCACGAUGGACAAUAUGUAGAAGCGUGGUCUUUGGAUUCCUUGCCGAAAUCCGGCGUGGAAAUGGCAUGGUUUCCCUGUGUUUUGGGAGUUCGGGAACGGGUGGGGGCUAUUCUAAACUCAUUAGGAAGAGUAUUUAAGUACUUCAUCAAGGUGAAGUGGUAAAAGGAAAAUUUCAAGACAUGUUGCCUUGGCUGUUAGUGAUUUCCUUCAUUGGUAGUAUCGUUAAAAUUGUCUCCUAUCGAGGCAUUGUAGAAUGAAUCUUCUGUAUCAUUCAUGUUUCUCUUGUUUUCUUUUCCAAGAUUGCAUUUAUGCCUACUAAGAUGACAUUUUAUAAUGCAUUUUUUCUCACCAUGAAAUGGAACUAUACAAGAUGUUCCCUUAUAAGAGAAAAAAAUUAAGUGAUUAAAAUAAAACUUUUAUGCUAAUGUAAUUCAAUCUUUGAAAAUAUUAGUUCAAA